CCUACGGGCGGCUGCAGUAAGGAAUAUUGGACAAUGGCGGAGACGCUGAUCCAGCUAUCCCGCGUGCAGGAUGACGGCCCUACGGGUUGUAAACUGCUUUAGACUGGGGCGAAAAAGUGGGAUUUAUCCUACAUUGACGGUACCAGUAAAAUAAGCACCGGCUAACUCCGUGCCAGCAGCCGCGGUAAUACGGAGGGUGCAGGAGUUACCCGGAAUCAAGGGGGCUAAGGGGGCUUGUUGCGGCAGGUGUGAAAGGCCAUGGCUCAACUAUGGGAUUGCUUUUGAUACUGACGAGCUUGGAUUAGGACGAGGUUGGCGGAAUGUGGCAAGUAGCGGUGAAAUGCAUAGAUAUGCCAUAGAAUACCGAUUGCGAAGGCAGCUGACUAGACCUAUAUUGACGCUGAGGCACGAAAGCGUGGGGAGCGAACAGGAUUAGAUACCCUAGUAGUC
rnacentral:rRNA from 1 species